UUCAUUCUAAUUCAUCUAUUAUCAACAGUACUGUGGGCACUUUAUAUAAACUACAUUGUAAUCCAUAACAAACAUAGCCCAGUCCUGCUGUUUUCCAGUGUUUUUGCGGUUGAUCGUGAGAUGUGCUGGAGCUCCGCAGCGCCCCCCUGCAGCUCGAAAACUUUCCCGUCUCGAAGUGAUUUCCUCCCCUGUUUUUACUUCCUGUUUUCUAAGGGAGUCACUUAGAUCGGUUCUGCUCAUCGGGGUUUCACUAUGCGUUUCUUCUUCUAGCGGUAGUUUUUACCGAUCUCUCCGUAGGGGUCUCAGGACGGACUGGGACAUCCACGCGUAUAUUCUGCUUUAGAUGGAGGUCGGAGGGCUGAAGUCAGUCGUGUCUACGGCUCUAAUGGAUUUUACGUAGACUUGUGUUUUGUUUUAAUGCUUUUUACUGCCUUCCUGGUCGUUUUAUUAUCAUUUCUUGCAUUCGGUUUCCUCCUCCGCGGAGUGUCCAGCCUCGACCGCCCCUUUAACUCCAGCAACAAUGUAACUAACUCGAUCGCUCUUUCAUCUGUCUUCCGCCGAGCUCGAGCUCAACCCCGAAGACCGCCGCGCGCGGUCGCCGCUUUUAAAGUUUGACGCUGUCGUCACGUUAUCGUGUAUUUAUUCGCCAAACUCUACGAUGGCCGAGCUGCAGCGGCCGACGCUGUGCUGCUGUCGGAAAGUGCUGGCCGUGCCCGGUAAUAAGUCCUGCGAGGGCGGCCGGAGUCUGGCGUACUGUCGCCUGGUGGACGUCGCGUCGGCGUCCAACUUCCACAGCUUUAAACUCCGACAUUUCCACCUGGACCUCCACCUGAACUUCGCCGUCAAGAGGAUGACGGGAUGGCAGGUUCUGGAGCUCACGCCCGUCCAGCCCGGCGUCCAGUCCCUCAUUCUGGACACGCAUCCUUCGUUAUUAAUUCAUUCCGUGGACUGCAAGGUGCCCGGCGCGUCUGGUGCUCCCGACGUGUUUUUGUCGCUCACCUACCGAAUAGAACCGUUCACCGAUUACGGAUCGUCUCUGAACAUCAGCCUCCCGGCCGCGGUGAUCCGGCCGCACCGGGCUUUCCGUGUCACCAUCCGCUACACUACCACAGACAGCCCUGCGAUUUGGUGGCUGGAUGCAGAGCUGACAUGCGGACAAACCCGUCCGUUGGUCUUCACUCAGGGUCACUCGGUCUGCAACCGGUCGUUUUUUCCCUGUUUUGACACGCCAGCUGUCAAAAGCACCUACUCUGCCACUGUCAGGGUACCAGAGGGUGUUACAGUAUUGAUGAGUGCCUCAAGAAGUGCAUACUCUAAACAGGACAGGGUUUUCCAGUUCUCCAUGGAGUACCCUGUCCCAGCCUACUUGGUUGCCCUGGUGGCAGGAGACCUACAGCAUGCAGACAUUGGGCCCAGGAGUCGUGUGUGGGCAGAGCCCUGCAUCCUAACGUGUGCGGUCAGUAAACUGGGCGGCAAUGUGGAGCGCUGGCUUAAUGUGGCAGAGGGGCUUUUUGGGCCCUAUGUAUGGGGAAGGUACGACAUAGUGUUCCUUCCUCCUUCAUUCCCCAUCGUUGCCAUGGAGAAUCCCUGUCUUACUUUCAUAAUUUCCUCCAUACUGGAGAGUCAAGAGUUUCUGCUGAUUGAUGUCAUCCAUGAGAUUGCUCACGGCUGGUUUGGCAAUGCCGUCACCAAUGCUACCUGGGAAGAAAUGUGGCUCAGUGAGGGUCUGGCCACUUAUGCUCAGAGGCGCAUUACCACAGAGGCCUAUGGAGAAGCCUUCACUUGUCUUGAGACAGUGUUCCGUCUAGAUGCUCUUCACAGACAGAUGCGUCUUCUUGGAGACAACAAUCCUGUCAGUAAGCUGCAGGCCAAAUUUGAGCCAGGUGUAAACCCCAGCAGUCUAAUGAAUCUGUUCACCUAUGAGAAAGGCUUCUGCUUUGUAUCUUACCUCUCACAGCUGUGUGGCGACAUCAAGAGAUUUGAUAGCUUUCUUAGGGCCUACAUUGAGAAGUUCAGAUUCAGCAGCGUAAUCGCUCAGGAUCUGUUGGACUUUUUCCUUGGCUUCUUCCCUGAGCUGAAGGAGAGCUGUGUUGCUGAACGAGAGGGUCUGGAAUUUGAGCGAUGGUUAAAUGGCUGUGGUCCUCCGUUAUGUGAACCGGAUCUCUCGGCGGGUAGAGCUCUAACAGGCACUGUUCAGCACCUGUGUGAUCUUUGGGGCAUGGAUGCCCCUGACCCCCAAGUGAUCUCUACAUUUGACCUCUCCUCCUGGAGCACCUUUCAGACUGUCCUCUUCCUGGACCGCCUUCUAGACCGCUCACCUCUGUCUCAAGAAGUGAUGAGUCUUUUGUCAAGCUGCUACUCUGCGUUGUUGGACGGCAUGAACGCUGAAGUCCAGAUUCGAUGGCUGCAGAUUGUUGUGCGGAACAGCUUUUAUCCUGAUCUGCCCCGAGUUCGCAGCUUCUUGCAUAAACACACCUCACGGAUGUACACAGUGCCCCUUUAUGAGGAUCUGUGUGGAGGGGUGAUGAAGUGUUUUGCUGUGGAGGUAUUUUAUCAAACUCAGGCCCGUUUGCACCCAAAUCUAUGCAGGACACUUCAGCAGAUACUGUUCCAAAGCAGCGCCCUUAACACCAGCACAGCUCCAUCUUUACUCACAUCACCACCCUCUGCCCCUUCCUCACCCACAGACCCCCCUGCCAACGGGACCAUCGCCCUGCGAGACGUCAAUGUGUCCGCAUGAGUUCAAAACUUCUGUGGAGAGGCAGAAGGUUUGAGGUGAAAAGCCAGAAGGGCAGGAACUGGACAGAAAUUGAACUCCUUGGCUCAGACUGGACCAUAGCAAUGCAUUAUGGGAGGCCAGCGCUGAUGGGUGUACACUCUCACCAACACUGGGAUGUCUGUUUAAAAAGGCAGACACUGAUUUUUUAUAAGCUAAACAUAAAGCUGCUCAGGGCUGUGGAACGAAGUGGAGGACAAAUGUUUGCAAUGGUUAUUAUGCCAUAACCUGUGUGUUUGUGUGUUUGUGUGUGUGUGUGUGUGUGUGUGUGUGCGUGUGCGUGUGCGUGCACAUAUGGAUAGGGGUAUGUCAGUAUCAAGGAUACUGGUUGUCAUCUGUUAGCCAUUAACUUUUUGAGUGUGUGUAGAUGUGUGUGUCUCGCAUAUGUUCCGCUGGCCUAUGCACAUCAUCUCAUAUGUUGUGUUUGCAUCUGUUCUCUGAGAAAUCAGUUGGAGGACUUAAGAUUUCAGAGACUUUCCUUUUGCUAGCUAUGCAGGGGUGUUCUGAGGAGGACCAAUCCCUGACUAAUCGCCUUCCUGGACAGUGUUUGAGAAGUGGCAUGAAUGCACACAGUCUGUACUCACCGUGCAAAUCUGAUCAUGGCCUAAUGAAGAUCCUGCAGAACCAACACACUCUCAGCCUUUCUGUGACAAACAGAUUGUUUCCUUUUUGUUUGAACUGGAAUCUGUUUUUCUCAAGCUUCUCUUUCCUGGUGCUAACCACUCAACGUUAAGUCUCAGGUAUAUCAAGACAGAAGACGUGGAGCCAUGUUAGUGCCUUUCAAACCUUUCAACACUGUGGGUGUUUUCAACACUGCUGUUCAAAUGAACAGCCUGAAUUUGUUAUUUGAGCCAUUCUAGGAUGACAUUGGUGACCAUUGUCCUACUUACAUUGUGUUAGAGGUUGCUUUCAGGAAUUGAGAUGCUGUGGUGAUUUUUUUUUUUUUAACCAAUGCAUUUCUUUCACUUCUUUUUUAUUUUAUAAUAGGCAAAUUUCCCUUAAAUUAGUACGUUUUGAAGAGAAGGGAACAGAUUAUGAUUUGUGAGAAUGCAGUGAGUGUGGUGGGUGUUCAGGGUGGUGUUAUAGGUAGAUGGGUCCAAGCUGAUCAUCAGUGGCCUUAACUACAAGCACAGUAGAAGACUGGUUCAGUUUUACAGGUAAUAAAGACAUCAGAGAGCACUUUGUGUGUCGUACCUGAGGAUCCUACCUCGGAUUUCACUUUCUUGCAUUUGUGGUAGACAAAUUCUCAAAUUCACUUUUGUUGACUGAAAGCUUAAACACUGCACAUCCAACAAUAAAAGGGGUUGUAUACAACCCUCAUCUAUUGAUGUCUACUUUAAUGAGUAAAUGUGUUACUGAUCCUGUCUGUGUGUGCUCUGAUUUUUGUUUUCAGCCAUGUGACCCCUUCAGGACAAUUUUUUCAUGUUUUUUUUUCUAUAGGUUCAACUUAGCAACUAUGGAAUUGAGAUUGAAUUUUUGUAGAUGCUAAAUCUUUUGGGGAAUGAACUUAAUUUAAUUACAACUACGACAUUAGUAAUUACUGUUACUUUACCAUUACCUACACCAUUGCUUUAGAAAACAGUAACAUUGAUAUUACCACGUUAAUAAUAUGAGAAAUAAAUCAUUGUUUAACAUGACAACGGUUAACAUGCAAAAAAAAAAAAAAACUAUAGGCGCAGACUAUAAUAUGAAAUGCAACUUUCACUUUGAGUAUCAGGAAAUAUUUAUACACAUUCCAGUUAUGCAAUAAAAACGAUGCUUACCUUUUGUCAGUAAAACGGAUGGGCCUGUAUUUUUUUUUUUAAUCUAAACUGGGAGUAAAG